rnacentral:tRNA from 1 species
GGGCCUGUAGCUCAGUUGGUAGAGCGCCCGCCUUGCACGCGGAAGGUCAGGGGUUCGAAUCCCCUCGGGUCCA